rnacentral:rRNA from 1 species
AUUGAACGCUGGCGGAAUGCUUUACACAUGCAAGUCGAACGGCAGCACGGACUUCGGUCUGGUGGCGAGUGGCGAACGGGUGAGUAAUAUAUCGGAACGUAUCCAAUAAUGGGGGAUAACUAAUCGAAAGGUUGGCUAAUACCGCAUACGUCCUACGGGAGAAAGCUAGGGACCUUCGGGCCUGGCGUUAAUGGAGCGGCCGAUAUCGGAUUAGCUAGUUGGUGAGGUAAAGGCUCACCAAGGCGACGAUCCGUAGCUGGUCUGAGAGGACGACCAGCCACACUGGAACUGAGACACGGUCCAGACUCCUACGGGAGGCAGCAGUAGGGAAUUUUGGACAAUGGGCGAAAGCCUGAUCCAGCCAUUCCGCGUGAGUGAGGAAGGCCUUCGGGUUGUAAAGCUCUUUCGCAAGAGAAGAAAACUUACCCUCUAACAUAGGGUGAGGUUGACGGUAUCUUGAUAAGAAGCACCGGCUAACUACGUGCCAGCAGCCGCCGUAA